GCCUGGGUGGCGCAGUUGGUUGAGCGUCUGACUUCGGCUCAGGUCACGAUCUCGCGGUCCGUGGGUUCAAGCCCCGCGUCGGGCU
rnacentral:tRNA from 1 species